AUGCCGUCCCCAUUCGGAGCGGGCCCAGCUCAUGAGAAGAAGAUCGGCCACAGGAGGGUCGAUGCCUCCGGAGAGACAACAUACAAGAAGACUACCUCGUCAGCCUUGAAAGGGGCCAUCCAGCUGGGUAUUGGAUAUACUGUUGGUAACCUUAGCUCCAAGCCUGAGAGAGAUGUCCUCAUGCAGGACUUCUAUGUGGUUGAAAGCAUCUUUUUCCCCAGUGAAGGAAGUAACCUUACUCCAGCCCACCACUUUCCAGACUUCAGGUUUAAAACCUACGCCCCUGUGGCCUUCCGCUACUUCAGAGAGCUGUUUGGGAUCCGACCAGAUGACUACCUGUACUCUCUAUGUAAUGAGCCACUGAUUGAGUUGACAAAUCCAGGAGCCAGUGGCUCCAUAUUCUAUGUAACCCGUGAUGACGAGUUCAUCAUCAAAACCGUCCAGCACAAGGAGGCAGAGUUUCUACAGAAAUUGCUCCCUGGAUACUACAUGAACUUGAACCAGAACCCCCGGACUUUGCUGCCAAAGUUCUUUGGUCUCUAUUGUGUACAGUGUGGGGGCAAGAACAUUAGAAUUGUUGUCAUGAACAAUAUUUUGCCCCGUUCUGUACGAAUGCACCUUAAGUUCGACCUGAAGGGCUCCACAUACAAGAGGCGAGCUUCCAAGAAGGAAAGAGAGAAGUCCAAACCCACUUUCAAAGACCUAGACUUUCUGAGUGACAUUCCUGAAGGCCUCAUUCUGGACCAGGACACGUACAGCGCUCUGGUCAAAACGCUUCAAAGAGACUGCCUGGUUUUGGAGAGUUUUAAGAUUAUGGACUACAGUUUGCUGCUCGGGGUCCACAACAAGACACAAGCAGAGAAAGAGCGUCAGUCCCAGGGCUCACCUGCAGGUGGCAGCGAUGAGAAGAGGCCUACAGGGCAGAGAGCCUUGUACUCCACUGCCAUGGAGUCCAUUCAGGGAGGCUCCACAUGUAGGGACACACUGGACCAUGAUGACACAAUGGGUGGCAUUCCUGCUGUGAGUGGAAAAGGAGAGCGCCUCCUUCUGUUCAUUGGAAUAAUAGACAUUCUACAGUCGUACAGACUGAUUAAGAAACUGGAGCACUCAUGGAAGUCUCUCAUCCAUGAUGGGGACACAGUGUCUGUCCACAGACCUGGUUUCUAUGCUGAGAGGUUCUACAAAUUCUGCAGCACAGUUGUCUUCAAAAAGAGCUGUUCACUCAGAUCCUCUCCCUCUAAGAGAGGCCGCGGGGCUCUCAUGUCCAAGUCCAGCGCUGGAGCCGGCUCAACUGGGCAGCGUCCUUCACUGACUGAUGACAGGCAGGAAAACUUGGACAACUUGGAGAAUUUACGAGCUCGCAGCUUCCCCAUGCUGGAGGACAAUGGGAGAGAGCCACCCUGCACUCCUCCGUCCCUUGAAGAUGCCACCACAGCAUCUAUUGCAACCACGCUCUCAUCUAACAACUCCCUACCAACCACCCCAUUUGACACACCAGAGCACCCGCGCUUCAGGAGACCAAUGUCCACACUUUCCUCAUCCAUCCGUCCAUCCACCAAACCACUCACUUCUCCUAAAUCUGCUCAGUCUUUCACUCCAUCUGCACAACCUACAUUUCCCACGUCAUCUCUAAACCCAUCCACUCUCCCUCCUGCCUCAGCAUUUACCCCUAUCUGUCCUGCAUCUCCUCACUCUUCCACCCGGAGAACCUCCCACAAUCUCCCUUCAACGCCUCCCUCCUCUGUCCCUCCGAGCCCCCAGAUGCCUCAGCGCGCCCUGCAGACAUCCUGCAAUCAGCUGCCUGUGUCCAGCAGCCACAACUCGUUGGAUGGAGAGGUGCAGGUUUCUGACAUAUACUUUGUAAGUACCCAUUUCAAAGCCAGUGUUCAAAGUCAGAGCAGUUUAAAGGAACCAGAAUGA
rnacentral:lncRNA from 1 species